ensembl:lncRNA
UAGAGGAACCUUCCAUUUUCAUUUAGACAAUCAUUUCUUGCCUCUACUCUUUAAAAAAAGAGCUAACAUCAUUCCUCUCAGUGUCUUGAGCCCAUAAACCGGAAGACCUGAUAGCUGUGAGCUUCAGAAUUUCUAUCUGGUCUCUGAUACCCCCCACCUUAAGUCUCCUCCUCAUCCUCUCUCUCCUCGUGCUUGGCUUCCAUGAAGAGCAGUUGCAGGGAAGGAAAAGGAGCGGGGCUUGCCUCCUUUCGUGGUCUUGAUGACACCGCACCUGGGAUUCAUUCUGGACAACCUACACAGGGAGUCACAUGUGUUCAGAGUGUAUUAAGAAGAACAGUUAACUUUCAGCUCAGGAACUCAGACAUCAGGAUCAUUGAUGUAGCGUUGAAGGCUGGAUUUUUCUACAGUGACCGUGGUUACAGGCAGGCUACUCUCUUUUCUUGCUUGUGCUUCAUUCAUUCUUCAAGAGAUGGGAAUACCAGACCACCUGACCUGCCUCUUGAGAAACCUAUGUACAGGUCCGGAAGCAACAGUUAGAACUGGACAUGGAACAACAGACUGGUUCAAAUUGGAAAAGGAGUACAUCAAGGCUGUAUAUUGUCACCCUGCUUAUUUAACUUAUAUGCAGAGUACACCAUGAGAAACGCUUAGAUGUUGGCCGCUCUUUAAUUAGUCUGGGAACAGGAGCCUGCAGUGAGCACAUUCACUUCUGAGGUCCAAUGGGAAUGUGUGUGACCACACGGUGACGAGGAGAUUCUAGCAGCCACACGGGGAAGAGCCUCGUUACUUCAUUGUGAUGUCAUUUGGAUCCUUGAGGGAGAAAGUUCUCAAUUCCUGCUUUCAUCAGGCCAUUAGUCUGUAACUACAUACUUGUUUCUUCUCAAAAUUCACUAUUUCACUUAGAAUGGAGAACUAAGGAUGAAUGUCUUACUAUACUG